rnacentral:rRNA from 1 species
GACGAACGCUGGCGGCGUGCUUAACACAUGCAAGUCGAACGGAAAGGCCCUGCUUUUGUGGGGUGCUCGAGUGGCGAACGGGUGCGUAACACGUGAGUAACCUGCCCUUGAUUUUGGUAUAACUUCAGGUAACUGGGGCUACUCCCGGAUCGGAGCUCCUGCUGCAUGGUGGGGGUUGGAAAGUCUCGGCGGUAGGGGAUGGACUCGCGGCUUAUCAGCUUGUUGGUGGGGUAGUGGCUUACCCAGGCUUUGACCGGUAGCCCGCCUGAGAGGGUGACCGGCGACAAGGCGCCUGAGAGACGCACCAGACGCGUACGGGAGGCAGUGGGGGGAAACAUUGCACAAUCGGCGGAAGCCUGAUGCAAAAACGCCGCGGUCGGGAUGACGGUCUGUGGGGUGAAAACAGCUUCCGGUUGAGACCAAGCGGGAGUGACGGUAAUGAGAGAAGAAGCACCGGCUAACUACGUG